rnacentral:rRNA from 1 species
ACGGGGUGCAGCAGGCGCGAGAACUUUACAAUGCGGGAAACCGCGAUAAGGGGAUACCGAGUGCCAGCAUAUUAUGUUGGCUGUCCACAUGUGUAAACGGCAUGUGUUAGCAAGGGCCGGGCAAGACCGGUGCCAGCCGCCGCGGUAACACCGGCGGCCCGAGUGGUAAUCACUUUUAUUGGGUCUAAAGGGUCCGUAGCCGGUUUGAUCAGUUCUUCGGGAAAUCUGACAGCUCAACUGUUAGGCUUCCGGGGAAUACUGUCAGACUUGGGACCGGGAGAGGUAAGAGGUACUACAGGGGUAGGAGUGAAAUCUUGUAAUCCCUGUGGGACCACCAGUGGCGAAGGCGUCUUACCAGAACGGGUCCGACGGUGAGGGACGAAAGCUGGGGGCACGAACCGGAUUAGAUACCCGGGUAGUCCCAGCCGUAAACGAUGUUCGCUAGGUGUCAGGGACGGCGCGACCGUUUCUGGUGCCGUAGGGAAGCCGUGAAGCGAACCACCUGGGAAGUACGGCCGCAAGGCUGAAACUUAAAGGAAUUGGCGGGGGAG